UACCUGCAGCCCGAGUGGUGGCCGUUAUUAUUGGGCCUAAAACGUCCGUAGCCUGUUUGGUAGAUGCUCGUGUAAAUCGAACGGCUUAACCGUUCGAACUGCGGGUAGACCGCCAGACUUGGGACCGGGAGAGUCACGAAGUACUCCGGGGGUAGAGGUGAAAUUCUGUAAUCCUCGGGGGACUACCGGUGGCGAAGGCGUCGUGAUAGAACGGCUCCGACGGUGAGGGACGAAGCCCUGGGGCGCAAACCGG
rnacentral:rRNA from 1 species